UCUAAAUUAAAUGAACAGUUCAGUAACGCGCUGAAUCAUUUCGUUUGGAACGUCUUUUCGCUGUGUGGAUACUAUAGUACACAGGGAACAAAAAGUGCUCUGCAUAAGUUGGAUAUCCAACUACAGUUAAUCGAACCAAUCCUGCGUAUUGUUAUUUUCCUGUGAUGUAGAUCAAACACCCGCCAGUGAAACAUGUGAACGACUCUGAAGAUUUGCCAUUUGAUGUCAGCAGAGACUCUGAGGAUUGUUGCUUUUCACUGUCAAGCAACAUCCCCUGCAGAGGUGAGCAACACGCCUGAUGCACCGCACAAAUAAAAUAUAUGGAUUGCUGAGGUUGAGGCCAAGGCCCUCAUGUCUCUGGAUGCUAAUGGAGGUUUGGAAAG